CUCAGCUGACGAGUCCCAAACAGGCUGAAACGCGCGUACUGGAU
rnacentral:hammerhead_ribozyme from 1 species